UUGAUUAGAGUGUUUUGAUAAUGAUGCAUUGAUGGAAGUAAACACAUAAAUGACCUAAACCUAAUCAAAAGUCACUUCUAAAGUAGGAUUAGUUGAGCUAUGAAAAUCAAAGGUAGCUACACGUAUCUCACAACACGUUACAUAUGUCGAUACUAUCAUAAUAAUCAACCGUUGAUUAUUCUUCAACGUCUAAAAAAGCUUCCACAACUUGUAAUUUCUGCCAACAAAAGUCAUCGAAAUAAGUCCCCAACUUUUUUAUCAAUCUUGACCAAGAAUUGGCGUCCGUAAGAAAACUUAAUUCCUUUAUUCAAGCUGAUUCUACAAGUCUGACCGCAAUCAUCCAAAACAACGAACGUCAAGGUCUACAUUGGAUAUGAGUUUCACUUGAGCUUUAACAUAGCAAGAGAAAUUCACACUUGGGACUCUGAUUUUACUGAUCAAUUUUGAAACUCUCAAACGAUGCAGAUCAUUAUCUUCAUAGUUCAUACCAAGAAAAUCAAAAUGUAGCUGGAAAGUGAAAUUGAACCACGCACUGGUUGAACAAAUUUCGAAACUUAGUGCCGAUUGUGUAAUUUCUAAU
rnacentral:misc_RNA from 1 species